AAUGUUUUCACUUUUUGGAAAACUUAAAAAGGAAUCCAAACACCCUGGUUCCCUUUUUAACUUUCUCCGUCCAACAACGGCAGAUAACAGACGGCGACGAGAAAUUUAAUCGACGCCACAACGUGAGUCAGUGAAGAUCGAGGAGAUGGCGAUGGGCGUUGAGGAGGCUGAAAAGAAGAUGGAAGAGAAGAUGACAUCACUGGGGGAAGGAAGGCAGCAUCACCGGAGAAAAUAGAUGUUGCUGCCUCAUAAGGCACUGUACGAGGCAACAAUGGAGAGGCGAGAAGCAACAUUAUUAGAGGUUGCUAACGUUUCGAUCUUGAUUUUGGAUAUCGGUCUUACUUAUUGGCGUCGUGGCUCGUUUUGCUGGCUUUUACAUGAUAGCCGCAUCUCCUCUAGCUGGGUCCCACACACACAAGCGCAUGUUUAUACAUCUCCAUCAAAAUCUUGACAAUAGGUAAAGACUGAGUGAUUGGGAGGUACAAUCUACCAAUGCACAAGGUACAAUAAUAUUGGAAUCUUCUACCCACACACAUAAACAGAGUGGUGAGAUGGAUUUGUUUUUGUACAAUUAGAUUGCUCAAAGAAGGAUUUUCGAGACAAUAUAAAAAGCGGAUAAGAGGUCAAAUAGCAUGUUUUGGUACUUCAAAAAAUCAUUGAUUAUGAAGAUGUCAUCAUCAAUGUGUAAACAACUCCUUUUGUAUUGAAAAUGUUAAGAUAUUUCUUGAGCUUUUGGUUGAUUAGAAA